GACAGGGGGCACCUGAUCAUGUCAAUGCCGCGUGAGUGAAGAAGGCCUUCGGGUUGUAAGCUCUUUUGUCAGGGAAGAAACACCGGCUCUAACACAGUCCGGGAAUGACGGUACCUGAAGAAUAAGCACCGGCUAACUACGUGCCAGCAGCCGCGGUAAUACGUAGGGUGCGAGCGUUAAUCGGAAUUACUGGGCGUAAAGCGUGCGCAGGCGGUUAUACAAGACAGGCGUGAAAUCCCCGGGCUUAACCUGGGAAUGGCGCCUGUGACUGUAUAGCUAGAGUGUGUCAGAGGGGGGUAGAAUUCCACGUGUAGCAGUGAAAUGCGUAGAUAUGUGGAGGAAUACCAAUGGCGAAGGCAGCCCCCUGGGAUAACACUGACGCUCAUGCACGAAAGCGUGGGGAGCAAACAGGAUUAGAUACCCUGGUAGUCCACGCCCUAAACGAUGCUGACUAGUUGUUCGGGAUUUACAUCCUGAGUAACGUAGCUAACGCGUGAAGUCAGCCGCCUGGGGAGUACGGUCGCAAGAUUAAAACUCAAAGGAAUUGACGGGGACCCGCACAAGCGGUGGAUGAUGUGGAUUAAUUCGAUGCAACGCGAAAAACCUUUACUACCCUUGACUUGUCACUACGAAGUAGAGAUACUUAGGUGCUCGUAAGAAA
rnacentral:rRNA from 1 species